GUAGCUAUAGUUUAACAAAAACAUUAGAUUGUGAAUCUAACAAUAGAGGCUCAUAACUUCUUAACUACC
rfam:Callithrix jacchus mitochondrial DNA, nearly complete genome